UACGACGUCAUAUUUCAGAAAGCUGUGGGGAAGGAGGUGGAGACGAGGAAGGAAAAUCCUAACGCCUUUAACCUCCUCAUAAAUAAAUACGCUAAUCACACACAGAACGGAUUUCUGCUACAUUCAAAUUAAAACCUGAUUGGUCAAAGAAGACAGUGAAAAGCGAUGGAAACAACGACGACGAAAACGACGAAGGUGAAGGUGAGGAUAGUGGAGAGAGAAGGUGGUUCAGAUGGAAGUAGUGGAAGCUGGGAGAGCAGUGGUGGUGGUGGAGGCGGCAGUGGUGGUGGUGGUGGCGGAGGAGGCAGUGGUGGUGGCGGAGGCGGCAGUGGUGGUGGUGGUGGUGGUGGCGGAGGAGGCAGUGGUGGUGGUGGUGGCGGAGGAGAAGAGAGGGGGAUUUAUGUGUAUUCUGGCUGGGUUUAUCAUUUGGGGACGAACUCGAUCGGGCGUCAGUAUUGUCAUUUGAGAUUCUUGUUUAUUAAAGGAAAAUAUGUUCAGAUGUACAAGCGUGAUCCUCAGGAUCAUCCUGGCAUCAAACAUAUCAGGAAGGGUGUAAUAGGGCCUACACUUAAGGUGGAGGAGCUAGGGCGUCGAAAAGUCAAUCAUGGGGAUAUUUAUGUUUUACGGUUUUACAAUCGAUUGGAUGAGACAAAAAAAGGAGAAAUUGCUUGUGCUACAGCUGGAGAGGUUAAACAAUGGAUGGAAGCAUUUGAUCAGGGGAAGCAACAGGCUGAAUUUGAACUUGCAAGAGGACUUAGUGCCAGAAACAAGCUGAACAUGGAGACAGAGAUUAUCAAUCUUGAAGGACAUCGACCUAGAGUGAGGAGAUAUGCUUAUGGAUUGAAAAAGUUAAUAAGAAUAGGGCAAGGUCCAGAAACACUUCUUCGGCAAUCCUCAAGCUUGGCUGCUAAGGUUAGGCCUGAUAGGUACUUUGAGGGUGAGGUUGGAGAUGCAAUCGACUUUCAUCAAUGGAAAUGUGUUCGUACAGCUAAUGGUGUUCGAAUCUUUGAGGAUGUGUCCAAUUCCAAGAAUGGUAAAGGUGUUCUUGUGAAAGCUGUUAGUGUGAUUGAGGCCAGUGCUGAUACUGUUUUUGAAGUGAUUUUGAACCUUGACCAACAUCAAAGAUAUGAGUGGGAUAUGUUGACAGGCGACUUGGAGCUGUUAGAUUCUUAUGAUGGACACUAUGAUAUUGUCUAUGGGACAUGUGAUUCCAAUUAUCUUUCCCGGUGGAAAUCAAAUAGAGAUUUUGUCUUCUCUAGGCAAUGGUUUCAUGGACAAGACGGAACAUACACAAUUUUGCAACUUCCUGCUGUGCAUAAGGAGCGACCUCCAAGAUCUGGAUAUCAGCGGGAGAAAAUCAACCCUUCUACAUGGGAGAUUAGAGAUUUAAAGGCACCCAUGGAGUCAAAUACAGCAAGAUGUCUUGUGAUGCAAAUGUUAGAGAUACAAGAAGCAGGAUGGUGCAGAUGGAAGAAAAGUCGUGGCUCAAAGUUUGAGAAGACUAUUUCUUUUGCAUUAUUAUCUCAAGUGGAAGGUCUGAAAGAAUAUAUUUCAGCAAAUCCAGCAUUCAAAUUUGAACAUUCCACUACAGUCAUCAAUUCUAGAAUUUCUGAUGGUGCCAUCUCUAGCAGUGAAUAUGAGGAUUCUGAAGUGCAAGAUGAGUUUUACGAUGCAAUGGCUGAUGACUCAUCAUCAUCAGAAGAAGAAGAAGAAGAGAGCGAUGAUGACCAUGAAAAGGGAGUGAAAGUUAAACUGAGGAAUGUUUCAUGGGCCAUCACAGGCUUGGCAUUGAAGCGAGCUCCAGUUACAGAUGCAAGCAAGGACUUGGAUCCAUGUAUAGCUCCAAUCAAUAUUGAUCCAAGCCAAUUUCAUUGUUCUCUCAACAAAGGAAAGGAUGAAAAUGAUUCAAACUGUUGGACUUCUCCAAGCGGCACAGGAUUUAUGGUUAGAGGAAAGACUUAUCUAAAAGAUAGCUCUAAGGUAAUGGGAGGAGAUCCCCUUCUCAAGCUCAUUUCAGUUGACUGGUUCAAGGUUGACAAGGCCAUAGAUGGGAUUUCACUUCAUCCCAGGUGUCUGGUGCAGACUGAAGCUGGAAAAAAGCUCCCCUUCGUUCUGGUCAUCAAUCUCCAGAUUCCAUCAAAACCAAACUACAGUUUGGUUCUCUACUAUGCUGCAGACAGGCCAAUAAACAAAAGUUCUUUGUUGGGUAAAUUUGUUGAUGGGACAGACUUGUUUCGGGAUUCAAGAUUCAAAUUAAUUCCUAGCAUCGUUGAGGGAUAUUGGAUGGUCAAGCGCGCAGUUGGAACAAAAGCUUGCCUAUUGGGGAAAGCAGUAACCUGCAAGUACCUCAGACAAGAUAAUUUUCUAGAGAUUGCUGUUGAUAUUGGCUCAUCAUCUGUGGCAAGAGGGGUCAUUGGUCUUGUCCUUGGAUAUGUCACAAGCUUAGUUGUUGAACUUGCAAUUUUGAUAGAGGCAAAAGAGGAGGCAGAUCUGCCCGAGUAUAUUCUCGGGACCGUCCGGCUAAAUCGUCUAAGGAUCGACACAGCAGUACCUUUGGAGGUUUAAGGUUUUCAAUUGUCAACAUUCUCCAUUCAUUGUAUUCCUGUGAUCAAUGCUGUUAUUUUUGGGGCUUUGCUCGCUCUGAUAUCUCUGAUCCGGUAAAAGAUCGCAGCAGACAUGUUAUAGUGCUUUGUUUAGAUGUAUUUAUAACACAUGGACAGAUGGAUAAAUGGGUUUCUACAUGGUGAGCUAUAAGCGCAGUUGAAGAUUGAUCAGGUGUGAAAGAUCCCACAUAAGUUUGGUUUGGUAGGAUUUACAAGGAGAAUUAAACUUGAGUUGAUGCUCAGCCUUUUACCAGAAUCGCUCAUUUGAUUGUCGGAUUGGAAAACUAGUGGUCGAGUAUCUGCAAACUGGGGCAUGCUCAAAACCUCACCAGCCGUGUAUUUCUGGAACAAUAGACACUGUUAAUCCAUAAUUGGUCGAAGCAGAUUUGAUGCUUUAUGGUGCUAUAGCAAACAAAAACAGUAAAGAGGAAAGAAUUGUUGAAGAAGUGAUGUGAAUCAAAGGAGUGUCCUUUUUCUCCAAUCACUUUACCAACUCCACCCACCUUUAUUUAAUACUUUAUUCCCAAAUGCAUGCCAUGCUUUAUGAUUGA